rnacentral:rRNA from 1 species
GUGGGAAAAAUUACCUUUAGUUCUAUUCAUGUCGAGUCGAGCGGACAGAUGAGGAGCUUGCUCCCUGAUGUUAGCGGCGGACGGGUGAGUAACACGUGGGUAACCUGCCUGUAAGACUGGGAUAACUCCGGGAAACCGGGGCUAAUACCGGAUGCUUGUUUGAACCGCAUGGUUCAAACAUAAAAGGUGGCUUCGGCUACCACUUACAGAUGGACCCGCGGCGCAUUAGCUAGUUGGUGAGGUAAUGGCUCACCAAGGCAACGAUGCGUAGCCGACCUGAGAGGGUGAUCGGCCACACUGGGACUGAGACACGGCCCAGACUCCUACGGGAGGCAGCAGUAGGGAAUCUUCCGCAAUGGACGAAAGUCUGACGGAGCAACGCCGCGUGAGUGAUGAAGGUUUUCGGAUCGUAAAGCUCUGUUGUUAGGGAAGAACAAGUACCGUUCGAAUAGGGCGGUACCUUGACGGUACCUAACCAGAAAGCCACGGCUAACUACGUGCCAGCAGCCGCGGUAAUACGUAGGUGGCAAGCGUUGUCCGGAAUUAUUGGGCGUAAAGGGCUCGCAGGCGGUUCCUUAAGUCUGAUGUGAAAGCCCCCGGCUCAACCGGGGAGGGUCAUUGGAAACUGGGGAACUUGAGUGCAGAAGAGGAGAGUGGAAUUCCACGUGUAGCGGUGAAAUGCGUAGAGAUGUGGAGGAACACCAGUGGCGAAGGCGACUCUCUGGUCUGUAACUGACGCUGAGGAGCGAAAGCGUGGGGAGCGAACAGGAUUAGAUACCCUGGUAGUCCACGCCGUAAACGAUGAGUGCUAAGUGUUAGGGGGUUUCCGCCCCUUAGUGCUGCAGCUAACGCAUUAAGCACUCCGCCUGGGGAGUACGGUCGCAAGACUGAAACUCAAAGGGAAUUGACGGGGGGGCCCGCACAAGCGGUGGGAGCAUGUGGGUUUAAUUUCGGAGCACGUCGAAGACCUUUACCCAGGUUCUUGGACGA